AGUUUUGCUACUCCAGGUUUCUUCUGAUUUCCAUUUGCCUGGAAUAUGUUUUUCAUCCUCUCAUUUUGUCUGUAUGUGUCCCUAGAACACAUUUCUUAUAUUUUUUGUGGACAGCAUAUAUAUUAGUCUUACUUUUGUAUCCAUUCAACCAGUCUAUGUCUUCUGGUCAGAGCAUUUAAUCCAUUUACAUUUAAGGCAAUAAUUGAUAUGUGUGUUAUUAAUGCCAUUUUGUUCAUUGUUUUGGAUUUGUUUUUGUUGGUCUUUUUUCUUCCCUUCCUCUUUUGUUCUCUUGUGGUUUGAGGACUAUCAUUAGUGUUGUGUUUGAUGCUUUUUUAUUUGUGUAUGCAUCUGUUUUAGAUUUUUGGUUUUCAGUUCUCAUGAGGUUUUGGUAUUAGAGUGUGUGUACAUGUAUGUGUGUUCUGUGUUUGUAACCCCCUCAUUUCAUGAUUGCUUGGUUUGAUACCAUAUUUGGGUGCAGAUAUUUUCCUAUCUUUAUAUUUCCCUUUAUUGGUGAGCCUUCUCAUUUGUGAUUUUCUUGUUUCUAGUGGUGGCCUUUUCUUUUUCACCUAGAGAAGUUCCUCUAGCAUUUGUUGUAAAGCUGGUUUGAUGGUGCUGAAUUCUCUUAGCUUUUUGCAUGUCUAUAGAGCUUUUGAUUUCUUGGUCAAAUCUAAAUGAGAGCUUUGCUGGGUGGAGUAUUCUUGGCAGUAGGGUUUUUUUGCCUUUCAUCACUUUUACCAUGCCAUUCCCUUCUGGUCUGUAGAAUUUCUGCUGAAAAAUCAUCUAAUAACCUUUUUGGCAUUCUCUUUUAGGUUAUAUGUUGCUUUUCCCUAGCCAAUUUCAUUAUUUUCUCCUUGUCUUUGAUUUUAGUCAGUUUAAUUGUGUCUGGAGACGUUCCUCCUGGAGUUUAUUCUAUAUAGAACUCAUUGUGCUUCUUGGAUCUGAGUGAUUCUUUUCCUGUUUUCAGGAAGUUUUUGGCUUUGAUCUCUUCAAAUAUUUUCUCCAGUCCUCUCUUUUCUCCUUGUCGCUUUUAUAAUGCAAAUAUUGUUGUGUUUAAAGUUGUCCCAGAGUUCUUUUAGACUGUUCUCAUUUCAUUCUUUUUUUCUUUAUUCUAUUCCACACCAGUAAUUUCCACCAGUCUGUCUUCCACUUUGCUUAUUUGUUCUUCUGCCUCAUGGAUUCUGCUAUUGAUUUCUUCUAGUGUAUUUUCCAUUUCAGUUAUUCUGUUUUUCAUCUCUUUUGUUCUGUUGUUCAUCUCUGUUCUUUAAAUCUUUGUUGUUGUUGUUGUUAAAUCUUUCUUAUCAUUUCUCGAUUUUUGCCUCUGGAUUUUUUCCAAAGUCUUGGAUCAUCCUUACUAUCAUAAUUCUAAAGUCUUUUUCAUGUAGGUUGCCUAUCUCCACUUAGUUGUUCUUCUGGGGUUUUGUCUUGUUUCUUCAUCUGGAGCAUAUUUAUCUGCCAUUUUAUGUUGUCUAGCUAUCUGUGUGUGUUUUCUCUUUUCUGCAGGCUGCAGGGUUGUAGCCUCUUUUGUUUCUGGUGUAUGCCCCCCAGUGAGUGAAGCUGAUACAGGGACUUGUAGCAAGCUUCCUGAUGGGAGGGACUAGUUAGUGCCUGCCCACUGGUUGGUGGGAAUGAGUCUUGUCCCUCUGGUAGGCAGGGCCAUGUCAUAGGUGGAUGUGUCCACAGAAGGACUUUAGGCAGCCCGUCUGCUGAUGGGUGGGGCUGUGUUCCCACCAUUUGUUGUUUGGCCUGGGGCUUAUCAGCACUGGUGCUGACAUGCUGUUGGGUGGGGCCAGGUUUUUCCAAAAUGGCAGCCUCCAGGAGA
rnacentral:lncRNA from 1 species